rnacentral:rRNA from 1 species
UACGAAGGGUGCAAGCGUUAAUCGGAAUUACUGGCGUAAGCGUGCGUAGGCGGUUGCUUAAGUCAGAUGUGAAGCCCUGGCUCAACCUGGGAAUGGCAUUUGAAACUGGGCAGCUAGAGUGUGAUGAGAGGAUGGCGGAAUUCCCGGUGUAGCGGUGAAAUGCGUAGAGAUCGGGAGGAACAUCCGUGGCGAAGGCGGCCAAUCUGGAUCAACACGUGACGCUGAGGCACGAAAGCGAUGGGGGAGCAAACAGG